GGAAGUCUGGUGGAUAUGUGAGUAUUUCAUGGAUUUUAGUCCUUAGUAUUACCCCUUUCCUCUGCACUUUUGGCUGCUGUAUCCAUGAAAUAUUGAAGUCUAAAGCUAGAGGCAAGCUGAUGAAAUACCUGAAGUCCUCCUCUUCCUUGCAUGGGAAAUCAGAAGUUUGAAACGUCUAUGAACUCACACCUUGGACAUGAGUCAUAUGGGAGUACAGCAACUGAUUACCUAAAUGGGAACAUGCUGAGGUGCUUGAGCACCUUCAUCUGGGCUGCUGCAAGGGGAAACACUACACUUCCCCUCCUGUUGGACCAUCACUAGCAAGAAGAGGUAGAACUGCCCCAGGAGAAUGGAUUUUUUCGUGGCAGCUGGAAAUUAAGAUGAAAAAUUAGAGAAAGGACAUCUCUACUGCAUUUUUUUUCCCCCCAAUCGCUCUGCAUCUUCCUUUGCCUCCCCAGAGUCUGAAAGCAAUUAUAUUCUUGAUCAAAACAUGCCACCUGCUGUUUGUCAGAAGGGAGACAUGUAUAGUCAAUAAAGCCA